rnacentral:lncRNA from 1 species
GAGUUUGAAGGCUCUAUUAACCCGGUUUUAUCAUUGAAAAGGCUAUGGAGCAUCUAAACCGGAUGUGGCUUGUGGGCCAAGAGAGGAAACUUCAAAUGGUUGUAUUUUUUGCCAAACCCGCAUGAAAUUUCAACACGUGGCACUAAUACGGGCCCACGCGGCCGUCACUCCUGGACCCCGAGAGCGCGACUUCGUCACCUCGGUGCUGGUGGCCUGCGAAGAGCUUUUUACUUACAUUAACUAGCUUAAGACCCCCUUAACUGCCGCAAGAUGAAUUAUAUAUAUUUAUAAAUAUUUUUUAAGUAUAAUUUAUUUGUAUCCAUUUAUGUAUUAUGUAUAUAAUUAAAUUAGAGUAAGCACAUAAAUCAAAACAAUACAUCUUAUUUAUUCACGAUAUUUUUUUGGUAAAUAAAUCAAAAAAUCAUUUUAUUUAUUUUAUAUGAUAUAUAACUAAAUUUUAAUGAUAUAAUAUAUAAUAUAUUUUAAUAAACAUAUUUAUUAUUGAGAAUUCAUACUCAUAUGAUAAACACAAAAUUUUUAAUGUGCAAUUCUUUUAAUGCAAAUUUCAAAAUUAAAAUAUUAAGAGCAUCUUUAACCCUAAGAACCCUCUUAAAAACUAACCCUCUUAAGGUUUCAAUACUUUUUUCAAUACAAAUUAAAAAAUUAUAAUAUUUAAAUAUUUUCUAUGUUAUAUAGUUUAAUUUUAAACUAUAUUAAUAUAUAAUAUGAAUGUCUAGUAAAUGAGAUUUCAUAUUCAUACGAUAUAUGAUCGUUUGUAUCUUGUUAUUACCAAAAAAAAAAUCAUUUAUUACAAAAUUUUAGUGUGAGACAUUUAACAUUUUUAGUAAUUUAUAGUCGUUUUACAAAUUCAAAAUAUAAGUUAAUGUGAUUUUUUAAUAUCUUUUAAUAAUAUAAAAUUAAACAAAAAACUAAGAUACAAAAAUUAUUAUAUAAUAUUUAUUAUUUAUUAUUCAUAAUCGUUAAUUGUCAUAUAUACAUUAAUCAUAUUAGACAAUUCCUUAGCUUUUAUUUAAGGAAAAUGCAAGAUUAUUAUUUUGUACAUUAUUUAUCAAUUUAAUAGUUAGUUUAAUAAAAAGUAUAAUAUAAAUUAAGGUGGACCAAUUUAUUUCUCUUAAAAUUCUGAAUUUCACUUUUAUGCUGACAUGUGGGUACAAAACAAUGUUGUAAUGUUUCUCAAUUAAUAUAUAUGGAAAAUUUCAUUUGUUAUUUAUUUAGUGUUGGCUCUUGAAACCCGUUGAUUUUAAAUUCCUAAAAGAUCAGUCGGUUGUGAAUAUUGCAGCAAAAGAAGUAGUAGUAAUUUAUUAAGACAAAUCGUAGUCAUUGUUGGAAUGGGAAUCAGACACCACUAAGUUAUAUUGACCCGAAUUCACAAUUAUUUAAAGAAAAAAAGAACAUAUGAAUGAUAACUAAAUGAUAUAAAGAAACAUAGUAUAAUGUUAUAGUAUAAAGUUAAUUAUGCAAUCAUUCCACCCACGAAAGGCACCCCGGUUUGUCCGAUCCAACCUUCGCCAACAAGAAAAUUGGUGACGGUGAAAUUUGAAGCAUCAGUAGCGUUAAUGACAUGAUAACCUGGCCAAGUGACUCUGUUUGUCGUGCUAGAGCCAGGUCCUGUGUUAUUGUAUUCCGCAUAGUAAAGUGUGCUCAAUGCGAAAUUUCCAGACCAUGCGUUCCAGCCAGUCGGGUCAAGAAACCCGUCUAUGUAAGUCUGCAUAACAACGGUUCUCGAAUAUUCCUUCCACGGCCGACCAAGAUAAGUUUUUACUGUAUAGUUGCUCGAAGCCAAAUCAUCCGCGGGUCUUAUUGUACACCCAUGUAACACAGUUCCAGUGUUCUGGUUCGGGUCGGUACGACCUUGAGCUGUAACCUCGUUCGCCUGACCUUGACGAGGCUGACGUGGAUACAAAUUACACUUUUGUAACACCACUGCAGCAUUGCCGAAUAUAAAAUCAACCGUACCAUAAACAUCACAUUCACGAUAGAACUGUCUGAGAGAAUGCGUAUAUAAGGUAUCUUGAUAGGCUUCGAAACUACAACUAUAGAAUACAGAGAAGUCUCCACCGCUCCUCAAUGCGACGGCUUGACCCUUGGUUGGUCCUGCCGUGUUGCGGAUUGUUAUGUUCACGCCAAUAAAGUUAGGACCUGUUAGAACUGCGAUUUUGUGAACAAAAUGUAGAGUUAGUUGAUUAUUUCACUAAAAAAAACUUACCAGGUUCAAAACAAAUACGUUUAGUUGGUUAGCGAGGGUGGUUAUGAUAAAGAAUUCUUGUAGAAAUAAAUAAAUUAUUUGGAAAUAAAUAAAAGUUUGAUUAGUUUAAUGGAUUAUGGUAUUAGGUUAGUCGAGGACACGACGAAUUGACGUGGAGUCAAGACUUUCGGUGGACCAUCCGACCAAGUCGCCUUCUAUUGCAUGGACCAAGUCUAGACUUUCGGUGGACUUGCAAUAAUUUUAAAAAUAGUUAUAUGUAGGCCUAGUUAUAUGUGACAAACAAAUGUUUCUAAAACUCUAAUUAUAAUAUGCCUUGAUCAUAUUUUCAAAUAUUUGUUUACUUUGUGGUGACUAAAACUCUAAAUAUAAUAUGUUCAUCCAAUUUAAGCCACAUAUUAUGUUCUACGUUUUUCACGUAUAACACUAUGUUUUAAAGAAUAAAAACGAAUAUUUUUUUCUAUAUAGAUUGGUUUUUACUUUAUGUUUUGUGAGAUAUAUGAAGUACUUACUAAAUGUGGCGGACUUGAAAGUGGUCCAUCCAUCAACGACGCUCCGGUUUCCGGUGAUAACAGUUUGGUUAAUGCCGUCACCGAUCAUCAUCACAUACCUCUUGUACUUCGGAAUCUCCACGUAUUCCUCGUACAGUCCCGCCGUUACAGAGAGACAGCCUAUCGAUUUAGAUGGUCUCACGGUGGAGAUUCCCACAGAGUUUGAAGGCUCUAUUAACCCGGUUUUAUCAUUGAAAAGGCUAUGGAGCAUCUAAACCGGAUGUGGCUUGUGGGCCAAGAGAGGAAACUUCAAAUGGUUGUAUUUUUUGCCAAACCCGCAUGAAAUUUCAACACGUGGCACUAAUACGGGCCCACGCGGCCGUCACUCCUGGACCCCGAGAGCGCGACUUCGUCACCUCGGUGCUGGUGGCCUGCGAAGAGCUUUUUACUUACAUUAACUAGCUUAAGACCCCCUUAACUGCCGCAAGAUGAAUUAUAUAUAUUUAUAAAUAUUUUUUAAGUAUAAUUUAUUUGUAUCCAUUUAUGUAUUAUGUAUAUAAUUAAAUUAGAGUAAGCACAUAAAUCAAAACAAUACAUCUUAUUUAUUCACGAU